GGAUCCCAUCAGAACUCCGAAGUUAAGCGUGCUUGGGCGAGAGUAGUACUAGGAUGGGUGACCCUGGGAAGUCCUCGUGUUGCAUCCC
rnacentral:rRNA from 1 species